UCUCCUCCUGCUCCACCCUCUACAGAGCCAGGCUUCCUUGUGCCCCAGCCAGGCCAGCAACUGAGUUAGGGUUGGGAUCUGUGCCUUCUCAGGGACCAGGAGAGUGUGCCUUCGUCAAGCCUCCCUGUCGGGCUUUCCCAGUUGCACUGGGGCUGAGCUGAGAAUUCCCCUGGGUUUCUAUGUGGGUCCCUAAACACAUUCCAAUACUGGUGACUGGUGCUGCUUUAGGGGGUCAGCAAAGAAUGGAGAAUGUGGUCCCAAGCUCACUGCCUCAGUGGUGACAGUGUGGACAUUCAACCUAUUGUGUCAGCUUGGCCACCCACCUCCCUCACAUUGCUGUGGUGGGCAGUGUGCCCACUGCUUCUCCAUCCAUGAAGCACCUACUGCCUGGGUUGGCUGUGCCAAGGCUGAUACUUGGUGAGCCUCCCCAGGGCCCAGCAGAUAUGAGGAGCAAGGGAGGAACAGGAACAGGACCCCAGGAACAAGCCAUGGACACCAAUCAUGGAACCCUAGAGCCAGAGGGUGGCCUCUAAGGCCUCACGCUACAGGGGCACCCACAGAGGCAAAACCAUUUGCUAGAGGUCACAUACGGAUUACUAAAGCCAAAGCCAAGCCUGGGGGACAGACAGGCUAGCCGAUGGCCGACCUAGAGGACGGCUGAGGACCGAGGAGACGGUCGAGCUGGGGGAUGGAUGACCUAGGGGACAGUUGAGCCUAGGGGAUGGAUGACCUACAAGACGGCCAGGCUAGGGGACGGCCAACCUAGGAGACAGAUGACAUGGGAGACAGCCGAGCCACGGGCAGCUGACCUGACUUCCGCAUGGUGUGGAGUCAGCCUGAGCAAGAGCUGGGUGCUGUGCCUUUUCAAGACAUGGGUGCUAAAGAGGAAAAUAAACCGAACAAAAAUAGCCAUAAAGGACAUUUUGGGAACAAUUAAAGAAAUUCAACUGAGGACUGGAUGAUAGUAUAAAUGUGUAAUAUUAUCAAAUUGUUAAGUUCCUUGCAAGUGAUAAAGGCACUAUUAAUGUACUUUUAUGUAGGAAAUUUAUAUAGGAAAAUGUCUGAGUUCUUAGGAAGUCCAUCCUAAAAUGUUUAGGGACGAAGGGUCGUGGUAUCUAACCAAUGAUUCAUUACAAAAGGUCAUAUAAAAGAUGACAUAUAGAUGAAGCGAUGUGGCAAAAUGGGAACCUUUGGCAGACACAGGUGAGAGGCAUAUGGGUGUUCAUUGUCUUCCUCUUUUAACUUUCCUGUGGGCUUAAAUCUUUCAAAAUAAGUGUGGGGAACAGGGGCUCUAAAGUGAGGAUGGGGUUUGACCUGCCUCGGAAGGAGGAAGCCACUUCUGCCAGGCCACGAUCCCGGGGCCACUCCAGCAGCACAGACGCCUCCUCCCGCCUCACAGCAUCUGUGAAACAAGAGCCUGGGUUUUGUUUUGUUAGAAACUUUUAAACCAGUCAAAAUACUUAUUUUUUAUUUAAAAUGUUUAUCAUAGAAAAUUUAGGAUAAUUCAGACUUUUAAAAAGUCACCUGUAGCCCCGAUCUACAAGAGAGAACUCGCGUUUACCUCUUUUCUAAUUGCUUCCAUUUGACUUUAAAUACAAGCAACGCAGCUGCCUCUUGAGCCCGGCGGCCCACCAGGGUGUGGCCUGGGCACCCUGCCACCCCACAUCCAGAUUCACAGCAGAACGUCAGCUCCUGUGGCUGGCCGCCACCUCAGGCACACAGGGAUGGGUGGUGACUUCGCCCCUCCCAGCCCGGAAAACGGGUAGAUUGUGGGAAGGCAGCCACUGCCCCCCCAUUACUGUUGACAUCAGCCAUAGGUGAAGAUGUUAGUGCUGUUCCUUAGGGUGUAGCCCAUAGUUCCCGUGGGCUUUUUGCAAGCUGCUUCGGGAAAUCAUCUGUCUCUCUCUUUUUCUGAACCGGCUUGUUCUCAUAAUGACAUUCUCUUGCUCUGAUUUGUGGAAGAUGUGGGUCCACUUGAAGCAGGCAGGACACAGGUGCUCAAAGUCGAAGGAGGCAAAUUUAUUCUUCCCUCGCCUACAGGCUUGGGAAGCACAGCUCCGCACAAGGCCGGCCCACAGAUGGGAUACAGGGAGUGCGGCUGGGGUUGCAGCUGGCCUGGAACUCUCAGGGCUUCCCUGUCUUGUGCACCACCACACACCCUGGUUUCCUUAGUGCCUUUCAGCCGUUUAAUAUGGCUGGUGAGACCACAAGAGCAGAUGUGACUCACCUUGACCCUCAGAGCAGCUCUGCGCAAGGUGUGAUGGAAUGAGAAGAGGCGCCUGCUGCUGCCUGACGUGCUUUUGGUGAACAGCAGUUACUGAUGCUAGUUCAAUUCCCUUUACCGGGCACAAUCAAGAAAUGGCAGCUGGGUGGCACACAGGAACACUGCCAGUGGAGGGAGGGCAUUUCGGGAGAGAUGGUCAGUUUCCCUCCCAGUUUUGCUGCGUCUGUCUGUCUCUGAGAGCAGGACCCCCUUUCCUCCCGCCCCCUACUUCCACUCGCCCGGAGCACUCAGCAGGAAGAAGUGGGCUGAAUUUCCACAAGCACAUGGUCACUCAAGGAGAAAAGCAUCUAGAAUCACAUAUUUUAAUGGCUUUAACUUUACACAAGGGACAUUGAGAUGAGGCGAGUUUUGGGGGUGGUGAGGAAGAAGCUGUUUCUUCCCAGUAAAAGAGUGAAUCCCGGCCAUAUUCAAAACCGGGUCCACUCAGAUGCCGCCGCUGGGAUCUUCACACCCAGAUUCCCACCUAGGCAGUCCUGUGUGACUUUGUGAAAAAUAAUCUCGUGUUUUAAGUCUUGUGUGUUUGUUUUCAACUUCUAACUUAUUUUGCUCCAUUUCUGUGUUCUUAAUUUUUAAUUUGUUAAUCAUUAUUAUUAUUACUAUUCUGUUUCAUUUUCUGAUGCCAUCCGCUUAAAAGUCGAUUUAUGUACCACACGCCUUGGCAUUCGGGAGAUCAUGUGCAUCAAAGCCAAGAACCUACACAGAGGAGGAACUGAAUGCCAAGCUGACCCGGCGUGUGCAAAAGGCAGCUCGGAGACAGGCCAAGCAGGAGGAGCUUAAGCGGCUGCAUCGAGCCCAGAUCAUCCAGCGGCAGCUGCAGCAGGUGGAGGAGAGGCAGCGGCGGCUGGAGGAAAGGGGCGUGGCUGUGGAGAAGGCGCUCCGCGGCGAAGCAGGUAUGGGCAAGAAGGAUGACCCCAAGCUGAUGCAGGAGUGGUUCAAGCUAGUGCAGGAGAAGAACGCCAUGGUGCGCUACGAGUCGGAGCUGAUGAUCUUUGCCCGGGAGCUGGAGCUGGAAGACCGGCAGAGCCGACUGCAGCAGGAGCUCCGGGAACGCAUGGCAGUGGAAGAUCACCUUAAGACUGAGGAGGAGCUGUCAGAAGAGAAGCAGAUUCUCAAUGAGAUGCUGGAGGUGGUGGAGCAGAGAGAC
rnacentral:sRNA from 1 species